rnacentral:rRNA from 1 species
UACAGAGGGGGCAAGCGGUGUUCGGAAUUACUGGGCGUAAAGGGCGCGUAGGCGGCCUGCUAAGUCGAACGUGAAAUCCCCGGGCUCAACCCGGGAACUGCAUCCGAUACUGGAUGGCUUGAAUCCGGGAGAGGGAUGCAGAAUUCCAGGUGUAGCGGUGAAAUGCGUAGAUAUCUGGAGGAAUACCGGUGGCGAAGGCGGCAUCCUGGACCGGCAUUGACGCUGAGGAGCGAAAGCUAGGGGAGCAAACGGG